CAUUCCAAGCCGGGAGUUGAACCAAGAGACUCGAUUGAAAGCUGGAGUUUUGUUGGGUCCUAGAGUGAAGGGUACCGCGUGAGGCUCGCUUCACAGAGCAGCGACUAUCUCUCGCUUCCGGCAGUGGAAG
rnacentral:SRP_RNA from 1 species